GACGAACCGUGCGAACGUUGUUCGGAAUCACUGGGCUUAAAGGGCGCGUAGGCGGGCGGUCAAGUCUGUGGUGAAAUCCUUCGGCUCAACCGGAGAAUAGCUGGAGAUACUGGCCGUCUCGAGGGGGGUAGGGGCAUGUGGAACUUCCGGUGGAGCGGUGAAAUGCGUAGAGAUCGGAAAGAACACCAACGGCGAAAGCACUCUGCUGGACCGACACUGACACUGAGAGACGAAAGCUAGGGGAGCGAAUGGG
rnacentral:rRNA from 1 species